rfam:Dipodomys ordii contig_50067, whole genome shotgun sequence.
GGGAAUGUGGCUUAGUGGUAGAGUGCUUGCCUAGCAUGCAUGAAGCCCAAGGUUUGAUUCUUCAGUACCA